rnacentral:rRNA from 1 species
GACGAACGCUGGCGGCGUGCUUAACACAUGCAAGUCGAGCGAGGCCCUUCCUUCGGGAAGGUGUCCUAGCGGCGAACGGGUGAGUAACACGUGGGCAACCUGCCCUCCGCUCUGGGAUAACUCCGGGAAACCGGGGCUAAUACCGGAUAUGACCUCGGACGACAUCUUCUGAGGUGGAAAGAAUUUCGGCGGAGGAUGGGCCCGCGGCCUAUCAGCUUGUUGGUGGGGUAAUGGCCCACCAAGGCGACGACGGGUAGCCGGCCUGAGAGGGCGACCGGCCACACUGGGACUGAGACACGGCCCAGACUCCUACGGGAGGCAGCAGGUGGGGAAUAUUGCGCAAUGGGGACGAAAGCCUGACGCAGCGACGCCGCGU